UACGUAGGGUGCGAGCGUUGUCCGGAAUUAUUGGGCGUAAAGAGCUCGUAGGCGGCGUGUCACGUCGGAUGUGAAAGCCCGGGGCUUAACCCUGGGUCUGCAUUCGAUACGGGCAGGCUAGAGUUCGGUAGGGGAGAUCGGAAUUCCUGGUGUAGCGGUGAAAUGCGCAGAUAUCAGGAGGAACACCGGUGGCGAAGGCGGAUCUCUGGGCCGAUACUGACGCUGAGGAGCGAAAGCAUGGGGAGCGAACAGG
rnacentral:rRNA from 1 species